CAGUAGCCGCGGGAAUACGUAGGUGGCAAGCGUUGUCCGGAAUUAUUGGGCGUAAAGGGCUCGCAGGCGGUUUCUUAAGUCUGAUGUGAAAGCCCCCGGCUCAACCGGGGAGGGUCAUUGGGAACUGGGAAACUUGAGUGCAGAAGAGGAGAGUGGAAUUCCACGUGUAGCGGUGAAAUGCGUAGAGAUGUGGAGGAACACCAGUGGCGAAGGCGACUCUCUGGUCUGUAACUGACGCUGAGGAGCGAAAGCGUGGGGAGCGAACAGGAUUAGAUACCCCUGUAGUCCCUGUCUCUUAUAC
rnacentral:rRNA from 1 species